AACUAGUACCGUGAGGGAAAGGUGAAAAGAACCCCUAUUAGGGGAGUGAAAUAGAACCUGAAACUGCAUGCCUACAAUCAGUCCGAGCCCUUUUUAGGGUGAGGGCGUACCUUUUGUAUAAUGGGUCAGUGACUUAAUUUAUUAAGCAAGCUUAAGCCAUCUAGGUGUAGGCGCAGCGAAAGCAAGUCUUAAUAGGGCGAUUAGUUUAAUGAAUUAGACCCGAAAACGAAUGAGCUUACCAUGAGCAGGUUGAAAGUUGGGUAACACCAACCGGAGGACCGAACCAGUUGACGUUGAAAAGUCUUUGGAUGACUUGUGGUAAGGGGUGAAAGGCCAACCAAAUUCGUAGAUAGCUGGUUUUCCGCGAAAACUAUUUAGGUAGUGCGUCGAAUAAAUAGAUGUUUAGAGGUAGAGCACUAAAUGGGCUAGGGGGAAGAGAUUCUUACCAAACCUAAUAAAACUCCGAAUGCUAGACAUUGUUCUUCGGCAGACAGACUGUGGGUGCUAAGGUCCAUGGUCGAGAGGGAAAGAGCCCAGACCACCAGAUAAGGUCCCAAAAUCAUGAUUAAGUGUGAAAGGAUGUGGAAAUUCCUUAACAGCCGGGAGGUUGGCUUAGAAGCAGCCAUCCUUUAAAGAUAGCGUAACAGCUCACCGGUCUAAUAGAGUUUCUGCGCCGAAGAUGUAACGGGGCUAAAAUCAUGUACCGAAUCUGUGGCUUUGCAAAGUUUUCGAACUUUGUAAGGGGUAGCGGAACGUUCUGUAAGCCUGCGAAGGGAUACCCGUGAGGGAUCCUGGAGGUAUCAGAAGUGCGAAUGCUGACAUAAGUAACGAUAAACGAAGUGAAAAACUUCGUCGCCGAAAAUCUAAGGGUUUCUAUGCAAGGUUAAUCCGCGUAGAGUUAGUCGGCACCUAAGGCGAGGGCGAAAGCCGUAGUCGAUGGAAACAAGGUUAAUAUUCCUUGACCUGAUGGUAGUGACGGAUUUCGUAAGUUGUGAGUUCUUAAUGGAUUGAACUUGCCGCGAAGAGGUCCCAAGAAAUAGCUCCAUCAUGAAGACCGUACCCGAAACCGACACAGGUAGAUUAAUAGAGUAUAUUUAGGCGCUUGAGAGAAUGAUGUUGAAGGAACUCGGCAAAAUGCUUCCGUAACUUCGGGAUAAGGAAGACCCUUUUGUAGGCAACUAUGGAAGGGUGGCACAAGCCAGGGAGAAGCGACUGUUUAUCAAAAACACAGGGCUCUGCUAACACGUAAGUGGAUGUAUAGGGUCUGACGCCUGCCCGGUGCUGGAAGGUUAAUGCGGUUGGUGCAAGCUAACUUCUGAAGCCCCAGUAAACGGCGGCCGUAACUAUAACGGUCCUAAGGUAGCGAAAUUCCUUGUCGGGUAAGUUCCGACCUGCAUGAAUGGCGUAACGAUUUCUCCGCUGUCUCCAACAUCAACUCAGUGAAAUUGAAUUCUCCGUGAAGAUGCGGAGUUCGCGUAGUUAGACGGAAAGACCCCGUGCACCUUUACUGCAACUUUACAUUGGUGUUAGGAAAAACAUAUUUAGCAUAGGAGGGAGACUUUGAAGCAAAGGCGUCAGCUUUUGUGGAGUCACCAGUGAAAUACCUCUUUUGUUUUUCUUGACAUCUAACCGCUAGCCGUCAUCCGGCAGCGAGACAUUGUAUGGUGGGUAGUUUGACUGGGGCGGUCGCCUCCCAAAUAGUAACGGAGGCGUGCGAAGGUAGGCUCAGAACGGUCAGAAAUCGUUCGUAGAGUGCAAUGGCAUAAGCCUGCCUGACUGUGAGACUGACAAGUCGAGCAGAGACGAAAGUCGGUCAUAGUGAUCCGGUGCUUCUGAGUGGAAGGGGCAUCGCUCAACGGAUAAAAGGUACGCCGGGGAUAACAGGCUGAUACUGCCCAAGA
rnacentral:rRNA from 1 species